rnacentral:lncRNA from 1 species
GUCGCAUUUCAACUCUGGCUUCUAGGGACCCAGAGCAAGACGCCGGCAGGCAGUAGAGAGGCUAAGUUUGGGGUUGAAGCAGACACCUGCUGCUUCCUGGGUGGUCAUAGCUAGAGAAAGUUUUCCAGCAUUUUAGAAAGGCUCUCAAUUUCUCUGCGGGCUCCCUGGGCAUCCUCCUUGUUGCUGUGUCUGUGACUAAAGCGUUUUCUCCGUGGGAAGGUGCAUGGCUUAUUUCAUUUCAUCAACUAUGAAACCUGAGGUAACAUUGCUGGGCUUCUUAACCUGCACAGUGGAUUCAGGGAGGAUUCACAAGACAUGGAAGUUGAUCUGUACAAUAUCCAAGAUGAGAUAUAUCAUCAUCAUGUUUGUCUUUGAAGAUGCUCUACCAAGAAGUUUUCCACUCAAUGAUUAAUCAUGCAAUAUGAGUUAUUCUGUAUUAAGAUCGAGGAUUUCACAUUAAGUAAGGUAACAUGGGCACUUAUCUAAUAUAAAACAAAACAGGGCCCAAUAUAAAAUAAUGUGUAAUACCUGCUGUUACAAGCUGAAUCUUCC